rnacentral:miRNA from 1 species
UGUGUGUGUGUGUGUGUGUGUGUGUGUACAUAUGUACACACACUACACACACACA